UCCAUUUUAGCUUGCAUCACGUCUAUAGAGCUUAACUCAUGUACUCCUCCUUGGGCUUCCUUCUUCUCAACUGUCGCUCGUUCAACUCCCUAUGAUUGAUGGUUUUGAGCCAUAUCCUCGAUAAGGGCACUAGCUUCAGGGUAAGGUUUGUUCAUCAGUGCACCACCUGCGGCAGCAUCGAUGGUCAUCUUAGUGUUAUAGUGAAGUCCAUUAUAGAAGGUCUGAAUGAUUAACCAAUUUUCUAAACCAUGAUGUGGGCAUGCUCUUAACAGCU
rnacentral:lncRNA from 1 species